AUUGAACGCUGGCGGCAGGCCUAACACAUGCAAGUCGAGCGAGCGGCGGACGUGUGAGUAAUGUCUGGGAAUCUGCCCGAUGGAGGGGGAUAACUACUGGGAACGGUAGCUAAUACCGCAUCCUAUCGCAUGGGCCCAUAUGGGAUUAGCUAGUAGGUGGGGCAACGGCUCACCUAGGCGACGAUCUCUAGCUGGUCUGAGAGGAUGAACAGCCACACUGGAACUGAGACACGGUCCAGACUCCUACGGGAGGCAGCCGUGGGGAAUAUUGCACAAUGGGCGCAAGCCUGAUGCAGCCAUGCCGCGUGUAUGAAGAAGGCCUUCGGGUUGUAAAGUACUUUCAGCGGGGAGGCGUUACUCGCAGAAGAAGCACCGGCUAACUCCGUGCCAGCAGCCGCGGUAAUUC
rnacentral:rRNA from 1 species